AUACGGAGGAUGCAAGCGUUAUCCGGAUUUAUUGGGUUUAAAGGGUGCGUAGGCGGAUGAUUAAGCGUGAGGUGAAAUGCCACUGCUCAACAGUGGAACUGCCUCGCGAACUGGUUGUCUUGAAUGCUCCUGCCGUGGGAGGAAUGUGUGGUGUAGCGGUGAAAUGCAUAGAGAUCACACAGAACACCGAUUGCGAAGGCAGCUCACGAAGGGGUGAUUGACGCUGAGGCACGAAAGCGUGGGGAUCAAACAGGAUUAGAUACCCUGGUAGUCCACGCAGUAAACGAUGAUAACUAACCGCUGGGUCGUAGUGAUUCAGUGGCCAAGCGAAAGCGAUAAGUUAUCCACCUGGGGAGUACGACCGCAAGGUUGAAACUCAAAUGAAUUGGCGGG
rnacentral:rRNA from 1 species